rnacentral:rRNA from 1 species
GCAUAAUCCCUUGCCUCUUAAUUGGUGGCCAGUAUGAAUGGAUAAACGAAAAUCUCCCUGUCUCCAUAAACUCCCUAAAAAUUACCCUUCAAGUGAAGAGUCUUGAAUUCACAUAAAAGACAAGAAGACCCUGUAGAACCUUAGCGAAAAUUAAAAUUUAAAAUAAAACUAAAUAAAGUCCUUAAUCACGCUUUAGUUGGGGCGACUUAGGAGCACCUAAACCCUCCUUUAACUACUAGGCACAUCAGCCACAAAAUGAUCCGAUUCCCUCGAUUAACAAACCAGGCUACCUCAGGGAUAACAGUCUAAUCUUCCUCAAGAGUUCGAAUUGACAGGAAGGA